rnacentral:rRNA from 1 species
UGGGGAAUAUUGCACAAUGGGCGCAAGCCUGAUGCAGCCAUGCCGCGUGUAUGAAGAAGGCCUUCGGGUUGUAAAGUACUUUCAGCGGGGAGGAAGGGAGUAAAGUUAAUACCUUUGCUCAUUGACGUUACCCGCAGAAGAAGCACCGGCUAACUCCGUGCCAGCAGCCGCGGUAAUACGGAGGGUGCAAGCGUUAAUCGGAAUUACUGGGCGUAAAGCGCACGCAGGCGGUUUGUUAAGUCAGAUGUGAAAUCCCCGGGCUCAACCUGGGAACUGCAUCUGAGACUGGCAAGCUUGAGUCUCGUAGAGGGGGGUAGAAUUCCAGGUGUAGCGGUGAAAUGCGUAGAGAUCUGGAGGAAUACCGGUGGCGAAGGCGGCCCCCUGGACAAAGACUGACGCUCAGGUGCGAAAGCGUGGGGAGCAAACAGG